AAUUUUUGACAAUUGGGGCAACCCUGAUCCAGCCAUCCCGCGUGUGCGAUGAAGGCCUUCGGGUUGUAAAGCACUUUUGGCAGGGAAGAAAAGCCGCGGGUUAAUACCCUGCGUUGCUGACGGUUCCUUCAGCAUAAGCACCUGCUAACUACGUGCCAGCAGCCGCGGUAAUACGUAGGGUGCAAGCGUUAAACGGAAUUACUCGUCGUAAAGCGUGCGCAGGCGGUUCGGCAAGAAGGAUGUGAAAUACCGGGGCUUAACCUCGGAACUGCAUUCUUAACUGCCGGGCUAGAGUAUGUCAGAGGAGGGUAGAAUUCCGCGUGUAGCAGUGAAAUGCGUAGAGAUGCGGAGGAAUACCGAUGGCGAAGGCAGCCCCCUGGGAUAAUACUGACGCUCAUGCACGAAAGCGUGGGGAGCAAAC
rnacentral:rRNA from 1 species